GGGGGACCAGUUAUUGCCUGCACUGUUCAUCCUUGUCGCAGAUACGUUGUGCAAACUCCUCAAGCUGGUAGGAUCCAUGGGCAUUAUUAAAGGAAUUGGCUUCCAAGGCAUCGAAGGUCUCCAAUUUGCUAAUGAUACUUUGCUCUUGUAUGCUGGGGAGAAAGAAAGCCUUGUUGCUGCAAAGGCCAUCUUACUUGCCUUGAGGGCGCACCCG
rnacentral:lncRNA from 1 species